rnacentral:lncRNA from 1 species
UGGGCAACCAAAACUGUUGGCUUUUGAGAAAACUGUCAAAUACUUUAACAUCAAACUGUUGCAAUGCAAGAUCAUUUCCAUGUCUUUGUUGGUGAUCUCAGCCCAGAAAUUACAACUGAAGAUAUAAAAGCUGCUUUUGCACCAUUUGGAAGAAUAUCAUGCCCGAGUGGUAAAAGACAUGGCAACAGGAAAGUCUAAGGGAUAUGGCUUUGUCUCCUUUUUCAACAAAUGGGAUGCUGAAAACGCCAUUCAACAGAUGGGUGGCCAGUGGCUUGGUGGAAGACAAAUCAGAACUAACUGGGCAACCCGAAAGCCUCCCGCUCCAAAGAGUACAUAUGAGUCAAAUACCAAACAGCUAUCAUAUGAUGAGGUUGUAAAUCAGUCUAGUCCAAGCAACUGUACUGUAUACUGUGGAGGUGUUACUUCUGGGCUAACAGAACAACUAAUGCGUCAGACUUUUUCACCAUUUGGACAAAUAAUGGAAAUUCGAGUCUUUCCAGAUAAAGGAUAUUCAUUUGUUCGGUUCAAUUCCCAUGAAAGUGCAGCACAUGCAAUUGUUUCUGUUAAUGGUACUACCAUUGAAGGUCAUGUUGUGAAAUGCUAUUGGGGCAAAGAAACUCUUGAUAUGAUAAAUCCCGUGCAACAGCAGAAUCAAAUUGGAUAUCCCCAACCUUAUGGCCAGUGGGGCCAGUGGUAUGGAAAUGCACAACAAAUUGGCCAGUAUAUGCCUAAUGGUUGGCAAGUUCCUGCAUAUGGAAUGUAUGGCCAGGCAUGGAACCAGCAAGGAUUUAAUCAGACACAGUCUUCUGCACCAUGGAUGGGACCAAAUUAUGGAGUGCAACCGCCUCAAGGGCAAAAUGGCAGCAUGUUGCCCAAUCAGCCUUCUGGGUAUCGAGUGGCAGGGUAUGAAACCCAGUGAAUAAGGACUCCAGAAUCUAAAGCCAGUGGCUUGAGGCUACAGGGAGUGUAGUAAAGCCGUUGUUUACUUAAAGAUUUAUCAAAUCAGUCAGUGCAAAUGUCAGAUACAAUGUAUUUAUUUAAAAGAUUCAUUUUUAAUCAUGAAAUUACUUAUCAUCCACAUUGUUUUAAAAAGAAACAAGAUGCUGGAUGUCUGCCAAUUUUUGCCUUCAUUACCUUUUUUGAUAAAGUUUCUCAGAUCCUUGUUUCAAACACAAAUGCAGGGAUUGCUGCCACUUUUUAACUAUUAAGAGGCAGAAAAUUGCACAAUAUUGAACUUUUUUCCACUGAAGUAGUGUGCAGUUCUAGUUUGCAUUCCUGAUAUGAUUUAAAACAUGUAAUAUAAAGAUGU